rnacentral:ncRNA from 1 species
GGCUUUUUAUUAGCUUCUAGUAGAUUUACACAUGCAAACAUCCCUAUCCCAGUGAAAAUGCCCUCUAAGUCCAUAUGACCAAAAGGAGCAGGUAUCAAGCUCACUAACUUAGUUGCUAACAACACCUUGCCCAGCCACGCCCCCACGGGAAACAGCAGUGAUUAGAAUUAGGCUUAUAAACGAAAGUUCGACCAAGUCAUACUAGAUUCUAGGGUUGGUUAAUUUCGUGCCAGCCACCGCGGUCAUACGAUUGACCCUAGUUAAUAAAACACGGCGUAAAACGUGAUAAAGAGGAUUUAACUAAAUAAAACUAAGCUUAGACUAUGCUGUAAAAAGCCUUAGUCAUAGAAAAAAUAACUAAACGAAAGUAGUUUUAAAAUAUCUGACUUCACGAUAGCUAAGACCCAAACUGGGAUUAGAUACCCCACUAUGCUUAGCCCUAAACCUAAACAAUCAACUAACAAGACUGUUCGCCAGAGUACUACUAGCCACCGCUUAAAACUCAAAGGACUUGGCGGUGCUUUAUAUCCCCCUAGAGGAGCCUGUUCUAUAAUCGAUAAUCCCCGAUAAACCCUACCACCUUUUGCAACUUCAGCCUAUAUACCGCCAUCUACAGCAAACCCUAACAAGGGAUCACAGUAAGCACAAUAAUUAAACAUAAAGACGUUAGGUCAAGGUGUAGCCCAUAAGGUGGAAAGUAAUGGGCUACAUUUUCUAUGCCCUAGAACACUGUCACGAUAGCUUUAAUGAAACUUAUAGCCCAAGGUGGAUUUAGUAGUAAGCUGAGAAUAGAGAGCCCAGCUGAAUCGGGCAAUAAAGCACGC